ACGCACGCUGGCGGCAUGCCUAACACCUGCAAGUCGAACGAGACCUUCGGGUCUAGUGGCGCACGGGUGCGUAACGCGUGGGAACCUGCCCUUAGGUUCGGAAUAACUCCCCGAAAGGGGUGCUAAUACCGGAUAAUGUCUUCGGACCAAAGAUUUAUCGCCUUUGGAUGGGCCCGCGUUGGAUUAGCUAGUUGGUAGGGUAAAAGCCUACCAAGGCGACGAUCCAUAGCUGGUCUGAGAGGAUGAUCAGCCACACUGGGACUGAGACACGGCCCAGACCCCUACGGGAGGCAGCAGUGGGGAAUAUUGGACAAUGGGCGAAAGCCUGAUCCAGCAAUGCCGCGUGAGUGAUGAAGGCCUUAGGGUUGUAAAGCUCUUUUACCCGGGAUGAUAAUGACAGUACCGGGAGAAUAAGCUCCGGCUAACUCCGUG
rnacentral:rRNA from 1 species